rnacentral:ncRNA from 2 species
UAUUACAACCAAAGAAAAACUUAUAUAAUGCUUUGAUAUGGAAAGCUGUUUCUACCUAAGACCGAGAAUCUUGGACUAUAAGUAAAAUUAGAAAACCG